GAUGAACGCUGGCGGCGUGCCUAAUACAUGCAAGUCGAGCGAACGGACGAGAAGCUUGCUUCUCUGAUGUUAGCGGCGGACGGGUGAGUAACACGUGGAUAACCUACCUAUAAGACUGGGAUAACUUCGGGAAACCGGAGCUAAUACCGGAUAAUAUUUUGAACCGCAUGGUUCAAAAGUGAAAGACGGUCUUGCUGUCACUUAUAGAUGGAUCCGCGCUGCAUUAGCUAGUUGGUAAGGUAACGGCUUACCAAGGCAACGAUGCAUAGCCGACCUGAGAGGGGGAUCGGCCACCCUGGAACUGAGACGCGGUCCAGACUCCUACGGGAGGCAGCAGUAGGCAAUCUUCCGCAAUGGGCGAAAGCCUGACGGAGCAACGCCGCGUGAGUGAUGAAGGUCUUCGGAUCGUAAAACUCUGUUAUUAGGGAAGAACAUAUGUGGAAGUAGCUGUGCACAUCUUGACGGUACCUAAUCAGAAAGCCACGGCUAACUACGUG
rnacentral:rRNA from 1 species